rnacentral:lncRNA from 1 species
GGAGGCAGGGGCGGAGGCAGAGGCGCACCCGAGUGCAGCGCACCUCGGCGGCCGCGGCGGCCCGGGUCAGUCCUCCCCUGGACCCGUGCUCUCCUCCGGCCUCGGUGGCUGUUCUCUCCUCUUUCCCCGCACUUUGAGUCUCUAACUUGGUGGGACAGGACGCACGUCCUUCUUUUCCGGGUUAGCAGGGGCUCUCCCCGGAGAUCCCGUCACCUCCAGACCGGGCAGGAUCCGAGGCCAGCGCGGUCGCAGUCGCCCCUGCGCCGUCCAGCGUUCACCCGGGACCACGGCCACUGCCCGCGACCAGAGAUGCCCGCGCCCACUGCGCUCCACGGGGCUGGCGCGCUCUGGCUGCUCCCCCGCCCUCUUGGCUUUUUAUAGUUUUCCACAGUGGGUUUUCCUCCGCCCCCAAUCCAAGAGUGACAAAGAGUGAAAACGCUGCGCUACCCCCUGCUCUCGCCCGCCUUCUCCUGUCGCUUCCCCUCCCCACCCUCCCGACCUCCUCCACCCCACAACUGGAGCAAACGUGGGCUUCCCAAUGCCUGCCGCAGCUCCAGGGAGCAGAUGGGCUUUGGAAACAGGCGGAGGGCACAGUUGGGCAUGAUGACCUGACCCCUCUCUGCAGCCCUACCGGCCACUCCGGCCACCCCCGACCGGGGGAAAUAGAAGCCAGGCACCUGUGCGAGCCCCGGUGCGACUGUGGCCUUCACCUCCCAGCCGUGGGCGGCUGGGCCCAUAGGUGUCCGAGGUGCCCAGCGGACCCCGAGGGAGAUGGGGGAGCAGCGCGGGGGGGAAAGAUGGGCACAUUCUCGCUCCCCGGAGCACCGGGUCUUUGUAGUCUCCUCUUCUGCGUCCCCAGCUCUGCCACGCGCGAAGUGUACGCCUGUGUCUGCCAGACUGGGAAGGAGGAACCGGCUGCCCCGCCCUGGGUACCUCGGAGGUUUGGAGCGCACUGCUCCUCUGGACUCCUCUCCGCGCCAGACAGCUGCCCUCUGCAGGAGGAAACCCCGGGCAGGCCUGAGUGGGUUAGGAGGCACAGGAAAUCCAGGCACCGACCCACCACCCGGCGUUACACAGUGACAGCUUGCGGCGAGGAGCUGGCUCCAGCCCUGGAGCCUUUUCCCAUCCCGGUCACAGCCGCAUGCCCAGGAGCGCGAAAGGACAAGAAACCAUGGAAUCCUUUCAGUGCAUGGAAAAAGCUAUAACUUAGUCAGUGGUUGUUCCGGAAAUCAGGUUUCCUGCUGAACACUGAACCCCAAAGGUAGGUUAAAUGUGCAGGUCACCAUUCUGUUCUCCUGUGCUGUGCCUUGCUGGGUUUCCUCCUGUUUCCUCUUGUCAUCUCUCCCUGCAUUCGUAUAUUCUGCAGUUGUUCAAGCUUUCACUGCACAUCUGUGAAGUGUGGGGCCUGAAGAGCCCAGAGGAGAGUGGACGGGGCCUUGGUGCCCAUGAGCUCACAGUCCUGUCCAGGCAGUGGCUCGCUGGCCUUGGCAUCUCGUCCCUCACAUGAGUUGCUAUCCUGACGGGUCGCCUGUUGUCACCCACAGCUAACUUUGGCCAGUCUCAGAGCUUGGUCUCUGCUAGGACAUCUGCAGCUUCUGAGCUGGCUUGAAUUCAUGUGAUAAAGGAGAUAUAGAUUAGAUAAAUAAGAAAGAUUAAAGGCUGGGGGUGGCGGUGCAGGUCUUUAAUCACAGUGUUCUGGAAAGCCGGAGCUGGAGGAUUACAAUCAAUCCCCGUCUGGGCACUUUAUAAGGCCCUGUCUCAAAGUUUAAAAAAAUAAAUAAAAGGAUAAAAAUGGCCUGAGUCUGUAGUUCAGUGCAAAGGCUAUUGGUUCAAUACCUAGGACUGCAAAACAAUACAAAAAAUUUAAAUAAAUUUUAAAAUUUAAAGAUAUCCCUGAGACUUUCCUUUCCUCAAAAUUUACACGUACAUUUUAAUAUUGUGCAUAGAGAUGAUACUUCUUCUCUGUAUAAGGUUGAACCCAAAUGAAUGACCCUGGUGACAGUCCCAUUAGGUCAGUAAGAACAAUUUACGGAGGGAGAUUACAUUUGGAUCAGUCCAGUGCACACACAGACUGGACAGGAAAGACCUUCAGGCUGUGGGUGGAUGUUUAUGAUUGCUAAGGAUCUGGAAGAGAAACCGAACUACCCAGCCCUAUAUUCUGAUAGUGCUCAGCCUCUGGGUCUUAUCACAUAGAAGUGUUAUGCUUCUCAUCCUACCUGAAGAAUAAUAUCUAAUGUUGCUGCCUAUCACAUUUUAAAUAAUUUGUAAUAGAUGUAAUAGCACUGGUAUCUUGAAAACCUUUUGAGUUUCUUGAAUGGGAAUAAACUCCAUACCGAAUAUGAAAAGCUACAUCUCAUAUUUGAGUUUUUGCCUUAGUUCCCGUGGUUAACCAUAUCCACCCCUGGUCUCAGGGCCAACAGGACCAGCUCCUGAGAAGACUUCAUCAUUUGCACUGAGUCGCUAGUUGUGCUUGACCCAACCCGCAUAAGUGAAAAGGCCUGGGGAUUCCUCGUCUAUCAGAAGCAUAACCCUUGCUCAGACAAUGGCUUUGUUUUUCUACCUUGACAAAUCAGUUGUCAUUUCAGCAUUUUACCUGACAUCCAAAUGAAAGAGAAUUACUGGACAGAUAUUUCCUCUAGAGCCUGAACACAGCCAGUAAAAAGUGGAAAUAACAUAAUCUGAAACUGAGUUGGCUACACUGCAUGGCUACAGAUUUUUGUGCAUACAAGUGACAGUACAUGGGGUCGGAAUUAGAAACAAUCUCCAAAUAUUCAGUGCCAAUGCUUUCCCUUAUGACACACGAUUUCUGUUGGUUCUUCACAUUGUAUGUCCUUCUUGGUGACCCAUUUCUUCUCACUGUUGAGUUCCUGCAGGCUAUUUCAAGAUUUGUCUUUGGAAACUGAAACAACGAACCAAACAACACCUGAAUGUGUCAGGGGGAUGUGUUUAAUUCUUGAGUUAAGUUAAGUUCCAAAAAGAACUCAUCUUGAUGAGCAACAAAACAAAUGACUUUUACGUAAUCUGGACUCAAGUUUUCUAGACUCUGCUCCUGAGAGCUCCCAGGGCUCUGGAGAGAUCACGCAGGAAGGCUAAGAGCUGUCUUCUUUUUGAUAAGAAUACACAGUAGAAGAAUCCAGCAACAUUCAAUAUUAAAUUCCUAUCUUUGUCAUUCCUUUUAUUGGGGGGAGGACUGUGUUUGUUGGCUUGUUGGUUUUAAUCAACUGUUAAUUGCCCCGAUUUGGAACCCACACUGAUUCAGGUAAAAUGCUCUGACUGCUCAACCUGCCUGCAGCAGGAUGGGUUGAUUUCCACUGUUAUUACCACAGAUAUUGCCAAAACAAACAUUACUCAAAUGGGGAAACUAUGCACAGUCUGGAGAUUUAUUUAGUCAGAAAUGAUUUGGUCAUUUGAAGUAGGGAAUAUUACACAGAAGUGGAGGGCAGGGCAGUAAAUCCAGUCAUGGCACAAUGUGUUUGUUACCAACCAGCUACCCGAGCCUCUGACUAGUGAAUGUGGACGAACCUAACUACACGCAUACCACAUGUAAAGUAAACUGUGGCACAGAUGGAAAAAACUAUCUUCAAAAAAUAAAAGAACAGGUUCCCAAGUGGUGACUCAAUAUCUGUGUUAGAAGUAGAACUGAGCUUAGUAAUGGAAAAUGUGUUGUUUCUUUUUGGAAGAUAAUUUUAUAGUCGAUAUUUCUUUUUGAUACCUUAAGAAUAAGAGUUAUGGGCUGGGGGUUUAGCUCAGUGGUUCUGGUGCCUGCCUCACAAGCGCAAGGUCCUGAGUUCGAUCCCUGGUACCAAAAAAAAAAAAAAAGAAUAAAAGCUACAAUAUCUAAGCUCAAAAAUGAUUUGAGAUAUGAGAUAAAUCAAGAUAUUAAGCUUCAAUUAGCUUAAUAGAUUUUGUAAGAAACUACUUUGGAAUAUACAGCAAUAAUAAAAAUAGUCAUAUUUGAAUGCUCACUACUGUAUUGCCAGGCUAGUGAAUACAUGCGUUACCUCUUAUUUGUAUGACAUAGUCCAUACCUUUAGCACAAUGACUGUAGAGUCCAAUAUUAAAUCAAUACUGACUGAAGAAUAGCUUGGAGCAACUUGGGUCCCCAUUCGUAGCAAUAUGGCAAUGGUAUAAAACCAUAAGGAAGGAGGAAUCCAUCAGAAGAUACUGGAGUGCCUCUCAUUCUUCUGACAAGGCCCAGCACUGAGUCCUCUGGAGGAAGUAAGAAAUGUCCCUGGUAAUGGGCUUCAAAUAUCGUCAACAUGUGAGUUAGUAAGCAUAGGCAUGGCAGCUUUGCCUUGUGUAGUAAGCCCUUAGCACUCAGUGUUGAUACAGCAGAGAAUGCAAAAGGGCCCUGCGCUCUGAAGGUGGUGUAUUUGACUUUCAGAGCAGCAUUCACAGAGCUCUGCCACCGCCUUGGGGGCAUAAACUACCAAUUCUAUUUCCUCACCAUUCUGGGUGUUAAAAGUCCAAGAGCAAGGCCAGCGGGUCUGUUCUUUCCGAGGAGGACUCUCCUUGGCUUGUAAAUUGCUCCUUCAUUCCGUGGCAUCACAUGGUCAACCCAUGGUCUUUGUGCAUUUUUCUUCUGCUUAGACGGACACCACUGGUGCUGGAUUGGACCUAAUUUUGAGAUCUCAUUUUAACUUAGUUACCUCUUUUAAAGACCUUAUUCCAUGUGGUUACCUUCUGAAAUAUUGGAGGCUAGGGCUUCAACAUACAUUUUGGGGCAGAAGACACCAUUUAGCCCAUAAAAAUGGUUUUAUAGAGGCAAUACAUACUAAAACAUUUUGGGGGAAAA